UACGAAGGGGGCUAGCGUUGUUCGGAAUCACUGGGCGUAAAGCGCACGUAGGCGGAUCUUUAAGUCAGGGGUGAAAUCCCGAGGCUCAACCUCGGAACUGCCUUUGAUACUGGGGAUCUCGAGUCCGGGAGAGGUGAGUGGAACUGCGAGUGUAGAGGUGAAAUUCGUAGAUAUUCGCAAGAACACCAGUGGCGAAGGCGGCUCACUGGCACGGAACUGACGCUGAGGUGCGAAAGCGUGGGGAGCAAACAGG
rnacentral:rRNA from 1 species